rnacentral:rRNA from 1 species
UACGGAGGGGGCAAGCGUUGUCCGGACUCACUGGGCGUAAAGGGUGCGCAGGCGGCCCGGUGCGUCAGCACUGAAAGCGCUCGGCUUAACCGAGCGAGGCGUGCUGAUACGACCGGACUUGAGGCUCUGAGAGGGUGGCGGAACUCCUGGUGUAGCGGUGAAAUGCGUAGAUAUCGAGAGGAACACCUGCGGCGAAGGCGGGUUGCUGGGCUGACACUGACGCUGAUGCGCGAAAGCUAGGGGAGCGAACGGG